GUGCCAGCAGCCGCGGUAAGACGUAGGAUGCAAGCGUUGUCCGGAAUUAUUGGGCGUAAAGAGUUCGUAGGUGGUUACUUAAGUCUGGUGUUAAAGCCCGAAGCUCAACUUCGGCAUGGCAUUGGAAACUGGGUAGCUAGAGUGUGGUAGAGGUAUCGGGAAUUCCUGGUGUAGCGGUGAAAUGCGUAGAUAUCAGGAGGAACACCGGCGGCGAAAGCGCGAUACUGGGCCAUAACUGACGCUGAGGAACGAAAGCCAGGGGAGCGAAAGGGAUUAGAUACCCCCGUAGUCC
rnacentral:rRNA from 1 species